AGUCAGCAGGGCUCUUGAGCCAGAUCUCUUUUUAUCAGAAACAUAGGGCAGCUGGCAGGGAAGUCUCUGAAACUCGCUUUCCCACCUUGGUCUGAAAUAGCCCAGACUUGGUAACUGUCCAGGCUGCAGAAUGUCUGUUUACCAGGGCUUUUGGAGGAGGCUGAGGUCAUGUUUCCUAUAAUGCUGGAGGGGUGGCUGGCUGGCUGCAUUGCUAUUGAAAUAGUCACUUUAAUGCUGCUAGGAAGUUAUUGAUUGAUUGUUUUAUAAUGUUAGGGUACCUGGACCAAGAGCCUCAAAGGUACUGAGGCCCUAACUAUUUUGGGGGACCAGGUACCUUUGAGGGUCUAGCCCUUAUCCAAGCUGCUAAGUGUGAUUUUUAUUUUAAUUCUAAAAUCUAUUUUCCUUCCCAAUACACAUUUUGCCCACAUUCUGAAACGUCGCUGACUACUCGGGACUACCAGUUGGAGUCUGUGCUCUGGGGAUGCCUGCAGGGAAAUGCUGGUGGAAGAGUUUUUUCUGGUGGGCACCAGCAGAGCUUUGUGAGGAAAGCGGCAGGUACCAGCUACCGUAUGGAGGAGCUUUCUCUGGUGCUUGAUUUCUCAAGAGUGGGAGUCGCAGAUAAAAGCACCAACAAUAACAGGUGUACUUAUGGAAUAUAAAUGGAUUUGGUAGCUGACAGUGCUUUUGCUGUCAUGCAUUGCCGUAGUUUCUGUGCACCUCCCACCUGAAAAAGGCGCAAAAAUGGCUCUCUCCCUGCUAGGCACAACCCUGCGUUGAGGUGGAAUGGAGCUGUCCCUUGCCAGCACAAUGAAAUUCUGAGUAUGGUGAGGUAGUGGUGGAGAUCCUCAGAGGGCUGAUGAGUGCACAGGACCCAGGACUGGCUUCCGCUAGCACACAAUGGCAAACUCCCAGUAGCUUCAAUGGAUGCAGGAUUAAAGUUCAAGACACAUAUCAAGUUGGCAAACAUGAUGGCACUGAUGACUCAAUAGUAAAUUAUUAUUGGUAGUUUUCAAACUAACUUGACCACCACUGAAGCUUCAGACCCCUACAAAAUUUCAAAUGGAGGUAUGACUCCCUUCAGCAUUCUUAGACAUAAUCUGCAGGCUCCCAGGGAUCUGUGGACCAUAGGUUGAAAAUCACUGUGCUAGGCUUUUGGGUCAGUUGUUUCCCACUAUACUCUGGCAUGAGAGAAAAGCCUCUCUGUGUGACAUCACAACUUCUCAUGUAGCAUAACUGGGACUCACAUUAUCUAAUCUGAGGGGAGGAACAUCACAUGGCUGAAUUCUAAAGAAUGCUAAACAACAAUGAAUAUACACAUGAAAUCAAUGAUGUCAUAUCAAGGAAAUAAAUGUUUUUAAGUUGGAUUUUCUAAGGAUCUUAGGAUAAGUUAGAUUUGUUCAGGUUAUUUAGCACUUGCUGAGCUGUUCGGUAACCCAAGGCCUAGCUUCAAAUGUAUAAUGUAUUUCUUAAUCUCCCUCCCCAUUAGUCAUUAGAAGAACAGAGACCCAAAAAAAAAAAAUAGAACAGCGUCUGCCACUUUAAAGCCUUGUACAAAAAUAAAUCAAGGUUGUCCUCCUGCCAGUUCCAAAAAAUCCUGAACAGUCCUUUGUAAAUUUCACUUUUCAUUUGUCCAUUACAACAGAAAUAGCCCCAGUUGCUCAAGCUUACUUCUCAGUCAGAUUCCAGAGUGAGUUAAGUUUAAGUUCCCCUGCCUGGAUAUCUCCAUUUAGUAUCUUCUCGCUUAUUCAGGUUUGUUUAUCAAUCUAUUUUUUGAACGAAAUGCAUUGGCGGGGGAGAAAAGAAAAAGCAACAGCUCAAUUUAGAUAUUUCAAAGGGCUCAUCUGAGAUGUUAUCUGCAUGCACAGGACUCCACUGUCAUGUUGGGGUAGACCUUAAGCACCACGUUCUUAUUUUCAUCAAAGAAUAAGAUGCUGAGAGAAGACAUUUUGUCAGGGACGCAGCAAGGCUCAGGAAUACCAGGGAUGACCCCAACUGCUCUCACUAUGCUCUGGAUGGUGGCAUGGUUCGAUGGCUUCAAGACCUGCAGAAGGAAGAAGACGAGAAGGAAAUGAUGACAGAAUCUAUUCCUGCACUCAGAGACUGAGCAAUGCACGGGACACAUCCUGAGUUCUCUUAACUCCAUUUUAAGCUUCUUACUGGGAGCUCUGAAUGGCUCUUCGGACAGGGAACCUGCGGUACAUGAGGUGCGAGGCAUUAGAGGAUCACGGAUUGCUCACCAUCACUGAAAUGGGGUCUAAGAUGGCGGCCAUUCUGCACUUGGAAUGCGUCUCAACUGUCUGGAGGAGGGGAAGUGAAGAUUCAUCAGUUUUAACAAAGUUGCUAUUUGGUGUUUUAGUUUAGUUUCCUAAAGACUUUGCAUUUCUCCCCACUCUCACGGUUUUCUUCGGUCAAGUUUGAAACUAUCAUCCAUAAUCAUGUCACACAAAAGAGGAGAGCAGGUAUUCCCUAGUUUAGGGUAUAAUGCCUGUCCUUAAUAGCUGAGGUUUUGGUUCAGCUAAUCAGUAGAUCUGACUCUGUUUGGGUGGGGUUUUAAACUCAAACCCUGGACUACUCACUUUGGAUGGAGCACUGAAAUAUACAAUUGCAUCUCAAUAAACGCUCUGAAUUAAACAGUUUAAAGUACACGUCUGUUUACAGGAUUGAUUCCAAAGGUGCUCAGAGUAAAGGCCUCCCAUGGGCGGGAGCUGUGGGUGUGGUGGAUCAUCUGGCAAAGAGUCUCAGUAAGUGUCAACAUUAUUUGGUACUGGGUGGAUCACACCUAUUUCCUUAAAUAUCUGAAAUGUCUUGUGUGUUACCCUCUAGCCCACAGAAAAUACACAGCCCAGAAAUCUUUAGGGUGGGAUUUUCAAGGAGCUCAGGCUUGGGCUAACUUUGCUCUCAUUGAAGUUAACGGCCAACUUCACUGGCAGCAAAGUCCGGCCAAAGCUGAACAUUUUACAAUUCCCAACGGAAAGGGUUAAACUGGCAUAUACCCUGCACACAGAGUGUUACGUCACCUUUGCCUGAAGGCAGCCUGCUCUGUCUGGUUCCUACUAAUGAAAAGCAGGCUGGAUCUCACAUGAGAUUUUCUCUUAGAGGAGGAAUGGUGUAAGGGAAAAACCCAGUAACCUCCAAGUGGCCAGAUCUGUGAACGAGUCCAGCUGUGGUUAGGGCUGCACCUGCUAAGCUGCACGCAUCCUUGAGAGACUUGCUGCCCCGUUGAAUGUCAUUACAGAUGUAUUAGGAGUGGAGAGAAUGAUGUCAGCGACCAGCUUUCAUUCGUGA